CACUGCCGAGAAAAGCCUCUAGAUAGAAAAUAGGUGCCCGUACCGCAAACCGACACAGGUAGUCAAGAUGAGAAUUCUAAGGUGAGCGAGCGAACUCUCGUUAAGGAACUCGGCAAAAUGACCCCGUAACUUCGGGAGAAGGGGUGCUCUUUAGGGUUAACGCCCAGAAGAGCCGCAGUGAAUAGGCCCAAGCGACUGUUUAUCAAAAACACAGGUCUCUGCUAAACCGUAAGGUGAUGUAUAGGGGCUGACGCCUGCCCGGUGCUGGAAGGUUAAGAGGAGUGGUUAGCUUCUGCGAAGCUACGAAUCGAAGCCCCAGUAAACGGCGGCCGUAACUAUAACGGUCCUAAGGUAGCGAAAUUCCUUGUCGGGUAAGUUCCGACCCGCACGAAAGGCGUAACGAUUUGGGCACUGUCUCAACGAGAGACUCGGUGAAAUCAUAGUACCUGUGAAGAUGCAGGUUACCCGCGACAGGACGGAAAGACCCCGUGGAGCUUUACUGUAGCCUGAUAUUGAAAUUCGGCACAGCUUGUACAGGAUAGGUAGGAGCCUUUGAAACGUGAGCGCUAGCUUACGUGGAGGCGCUGGUGGGAUACUACCCUAGCUGUGUUGGCUUUCUAACCCGCACCACUUAUCGUGGUGGGAGACAGUGUCAGG
rnacentral:rRNA from 1 species